rnacentral:rRNA from 1 species
GAUGAACGCUGGCGGCGUGCCUAAUACAUGCAAGUCGAGCGAACAGACGAGGAGCUUGCUCCUCUGACGUUAGCGGCGGACGGGUGAGUAACACGUGGAUAACCUACCUAUAAGACUGGGAUAACUUCGGGAAACCGGCGCUAAUACCGGAUAAUCUAUUGAACCGCAUGGUUCAAUAGUGAAAGACGGCUUUGCUGUCACUUAUAGAUGGAUCCGCGCUGCAUUAGCUAGUUGGUAAGGUAACGGCCUACCAAGGCAACGAUGCGUAGCCGACCUGUGAGGCUGGUCGGCCACACUAGAACUGAGACACGGUCCAGACGCCUACGGGAGGCAGCAGUAGGGAAUCGGCCGCAAUGGGCGAAAGCCUGACGGAGCAACGCCGAGUGAGUGAUGAAGGUCUUCGGAGCGUAAAACUCUGUUAUUAGGGAAGAACAAAUGUGGAAGUAACUAUGCACGUCUUGACGGUACCUAAUCAGAAAGCCACGGCUAACUACGUG